UCCAAAUGAUGUAUUAAAAAAUAUUUGCUACUUCGGACAGGGCUUCAAGCCUUGAAUGAGACAUACCAUUUUUAUCACCAAGAUCUCUGAUGGA
rnacentral:snoRNA from 1 species